rnacentral:rRNA from 1 species
AACCAUGACCAUGUCACCAUGAACAAGCCCGAUCCCGUCUGAUCUCGAAAGCUAAGCAGGGUCAGGCCUGGUUGGAUGGGAGACCACCUACGAAGACCAGGUGCUGUAGGCA